AAACUGAUAAAUACAUAUUUUACCAUGAAAUUGAAUAAACAUUGAAUUAAAUUUAAAUUAUGGUAAGAGGUAAAUAAUUCUUUUCUUAAACCAGAUUCUGAACUUGUCUCUCUCUUGAUUGCAAUCUUUAAUGAAAACUACAGAAAAACAUAUAAGGAGAUUGUGUUGACCCGGCUAAGAUUAUAAUUAAAUGGGCUUUGGUCUUGAUUAGAUUAAAAGUUAUAAUUGUAUAGAAAAAUAUUUGAUUAACCCUCUUAUUAAGUCACGAUCCUGCUUUUAGCCCUGUUGAG
rnacentral:lncRNA from 1 species